UUGACUUUUAAAAAUUUGAAAUUUUAAAACUAGCUAUUAAGGCUUCUGGAUCCUUAAGUUGCGGUGAAGUACCGAUGCAUGUUAAAAAAAAUAAUAAUAAUAAUAUAUGGAAUAAC